CACAAUGGGGUCACCCCUGAUGCAGCCAUGCCGCGUGGAGGAAGACACCCCUAUGGGGCGUAAACUCCUUUUCUGAAUGAAGAAACCCCUGUAGGUUCAGGGCGCGACGGUAGUUCAGGAAUAAGCACCGGCUAACUCCGUGCCAGCAGCCGCGGUAAUACGGAGGGUGCAAGCGUUGUCCGGAAUCACUGGGUGUAAAGGGUGUGCAGGCGGGGCAACAAGUCGGAUGUGAAACCCCAUGGCUCAACCAUGGAGGUGCAUUCGAAACUGUUGCUCUUGAGUCCCGGAGAGGCUGUCGGAAUUCGUGGUGUAGCGGUGAAAUGCGUAGAUAUCACGAGGAACACCAGAGGCGAAAGCGGGCAGCUGGACGGGUACUGACGCUCAGGCA
rnacentral:rRNA from 1 species